rnacentral:lncRNA from 1 species
UCGGGUUGGUUUUGGGCCGCAAGGCCCAAUGAGAUUUGAAUGUCAAGCACAUUAACUCAAGUUGUAUGUCAACUUGAAAACACAAAGGGCUUUGAUAGGUAUUUACCACCUAUAAAAGUAGGGAUAAAAUCACACAAAAUACUUGCAAGAGAACAAGGUUGUUGUAGUAUAAACGGCUCGAGCAAGGUCGUUUUCCGCUGGGAUUCUUUAAAACAAUUUAUGAAAAAACCCUAAUCCUAGUUAACUAUUUGAAAACAAAGAUUGGAAAAUGGUGAUUUAAUGAUCUAAAUUAAGAAAAACAAAAUUAAUAAAAAAAUGCUAAUUAAAAUCUGCAAUUUCUAAAGAAAGAGAAAGGAAACAAUUUUUUUUAGAUUUCAAAAUUAGAAAAUACUAGGGUUCCGCCGUCACCCUAACAAUCCUACAUAGUUCUUCUACUUCCUUAUGAAUUACACAUGCAUAUUUUGAGGGUUAGGUUUUCCUAAAGUAUGCCCCACUUGGAACCCCCAACAUAGAGCAUAUAUCUAAUCAUGCAAACCCGUCCGUGGCGUCCAGAUCGAAUAUGAACAUGCAAGACUUAUUAAGUUUUGUGAAAACCUUUUGAAAAACCAUAUAACUCUUAAGGCGUGUCGUCCAUCCUAAAUAGUUACACAUGUUAACCACAAGAAGCCUUAGUCAAUUUUAGGGACAACCCUCCGCCAAAAUUGCAUCAAAUUACUUUUCUAAUUAUCCUAAUGGUCGCGAAUCACUAAGACAAAUAGAUAGUUUAGAGCACAAUGAUCAACAAUCCAAAACUUGCAUGCAUAAAUUCAUAAGAAAAUUAAAAAGAAACUACAUAUUCUUGCUAAGGAUCAUGGCCUCACCCUAGCAAUAAAAAAUUAGCUAUGCAUAUUCAUAAUUAAAAUCAACAUAAUUAUAUUAAACUAGAAAAAGAAUGGAAACACCUGAAAGUAUAAGUCUUGAAUUCUCUAAGUUUUUCCCAAAAUCUUCUUCUCAAAUUUUGCGUAGGUUCUUCCAGAAGCCUAGGUCUGCCAAAAGGCUUAUUUAUACUAUUCUAAAUAAAAUCCUCCUAGUCAAAGAUCUUAGAACAAGACUAGGAAACUAAAUAAAUUGAAAUAGAAUAGGAAACAUAAUCCUAAAUUAACUUGGUAAAUUCACCUAGAAAUCUGCACAGCCACGUUCUGGCCCUAUAUCAGCUCCAAAACUGGCCCAAAAUAGCUGAAUUUAGAGCUUGGACUAUUCUGAACACUUCACCAGAAGGCCACGAACCCAUCUGAGGUCAUCUUGGGCUCCAAAAACACAGUUUAAGUUCAGAAACGUCACUUUUCAGCAACGCGCACUGCUCCUUCAUUUAAUCACCAGAAAAUAACCGCUUGGUAGGAAAAUCCAAAAUUUUGACACAAACAAGCCAAGAGACACAAAAACGUCCUCCAAUUUGAAUUGCUUCAAAAUUCAUCCGUUUGAUCAUGUUUUGCUCCAGAAGAAGUCGAAUAUCCUAUAUUGAAAAUAUAAAGCAAAGUAUCAAAAUUCUACGAAAAUAAUUACCAAAUUAUACUAAGAAUAUGGUAAAAUAUAUAAUAUAAUAUUGACUCAUCAGGCUUCAAAGCCCAAUUAACCUACAAUGGCCGGCCAUAUUGCUGAGGGUAGCAAACUUGUAUUAAUUGCAAGUUUGCCACUCCAUUGUGAGGUGGUAUAAAAGGAACUUUAUAGUCAUUUCAUCAUUAGAGUUUUUCUUUGGAGAAAAUAUGAGAACGAAAGCUCUCUUGACUCUCUAAGAGGCUGGCCGCCCUAGAGGAACAUAUCUAGCAAUCUUCCUUCCUUAGGUCACUCAUCUCUUCAUCAAUGCUCUCCUUGGUGUGAAGACUUAGAGGUUCUCUAUUUUGGGAACUUGGAGAAUCCAUUCAUCCAUCCUCCUCCAAGAAAUCCAUGGAGGUAAGCAAUAAGGAAUGAAGGCCCUCUCUCUGCUUAUGAAAAGAGGAAUCAACAAAGGUAUAAUAUUUCUCAACUCACUUUGUUCUUGAGUUGAGUCUUGGUUCACCAUAACUACUAGGCUUUUGAUUUCAUGGGUUAAAUUUUGUUUUCUAGUGCAUCCAAGCAUUAUACUGCCUUUUAAUUGUUAAUAGCAUUCAUAGAUGUUGCUCAAAUGAACUAGUUUUCACAAAUAUUUCCUUCAAGUGGUAUUAGUGCCUAGGUCUAGUAGUUGGUGAAUCCUUUUGGGUUUUGUUUUUCAUAGUCUUUGAUUUGAAUGUUGUAAUUGUUACAAGUUUUAUUCUUGCUUCUUUGAAUGUAAAUUUUGCUUGAAAAUUUGCCAUCUCAAAUGUUGUAGAUGUAGUUCAUAUGAGCAUGAAUUUUGGAGCUAAAAUUUGGUGCCAUGUUUAUGGGGAAAUUCAGCCAAAUCCGAAGGAUGGAUUUUUGAGUUCAUGUUUGUCUUGUUAAAAGUGUUUUAAAGUGACUUUUGGAACCCCUACAUACCCUAAGGUGUUAACCCCCUUUUGAGUAGUGAAAAUUUGAGUUUUAUUGAGUGAAAACAUUCAUUGAGCUCUUAUGGGUUUUCAUGGAUGUUCUUCAAUGUUCUUGCUUUGUUCUUAUUAUUCAUACCAAGAACAAAGAGUUUGGUGUUUUGAUUCAAAGUUGUUGGUUGUUUACAUAAAGUUUUUGUUAGUGAUGGAUGGUAUGUUUUUUUUUUCAAUCAACACCCAUACCUAUUUUACUAUUCACACCAUACCAAUCACUUACAACUUUCAAUCACCUUUCAAACACACAAAUCAACUCACACACACCAUCACUACAUAGCAUGGCCAGCCACCCCUAUCAUGGGGGUAUUGUUUGGGCUUUUAUGCAAUUACAUAAAGUUUUGAUACUUUUGUGUAUUUGUACUUUGACCAGAAAGUUAAUGUUUUUACGUAAAGGCCCAAAAACACUAAAGGACAAAUUGUUUUGCUCCUUUAAUGUAGUUUUUGCAUUUGUUGAAAUUUUUGGGUUCUAGUUGUAAUUACAUGAAGUAAUGGACAUUUGUGUGUAUACAAAGUAACCUCAAAAGUUUGUGUUUUGCAAUAUAACCCAAAAGGUCGAGGUUAUUGCAUUUUGGCCCAAAUUAGUUGAGAACAAAAUAGUUUUGUAUCUUUAAAUGAGAAUUGGAUUUUCAUUACAUUUAGCUCCAUCUAAAUCAAUUUUAUGGAUACAAAAACCAAAUGACAAUGUUGAAUUCAAAUUUAAUUAGUUAAAGCGUUAUUAAUUAAAGAAAAGGUGAUUAUCAAAUUUGUUUGAACUAUGGGAAUGUGAAGAUUAGAUUUUGGUUGUAAUUUUGACACACCUCAACCUAGAUCGAAGCAUGCUGGUUGUCACAUGAGGGUGACGUAGCCAUGUGAAUAGUGCAGAAGCAAUAUUAAUAUAAGGAAAGUGAAUAAACAAAAACCAAACCAACUAGAACACUAGAUAAGAUAAGGUGCAAGUGCGAUAUUAAGUGUGAUUGCACAACCAAAGCAUAAGUAGCCUAAGUGUAGUCCAGCAGGACUAAUACUAAUUAUACAACACCCAAAGGUGAUCCUACUACAUUGGUGAUAAUCUGUUAGAACCUCCAUCAAAUCCUCGUAAGCCACCAACAAGCACACCUACUUAAAACUUGGAGGGGCGCAAAACAGAAAGUGUGAGUGGGAAAAAACAAAGUUUUCCAAAACCAUUUCAACAUCAAAGAUAGUAACCCCUAGCCGUAAAACCUGUAUAAUUUCCCAGAAAAUAGAAUAUACAUAUCUUAAAACCAUGCUUAGAAUAGUAAUAUUCAAAAGUAUGCCAUGCUAAAUAUCUCGAAAUAACUGAAUAAGUAACUCAGGUGAAUUAACUUAUGAGAAAUAACAUAUCAGCUGGAUCCACCUAAAGUGGCAUGUACGGCUGAAUCUAUAGCUCAAGUAUGCCUGCACACGAGUCGAAACCACCUAAAGUGGUUUAUACGAUAGGACUAGGUGUAAAUAUAUACACUUUAGUGCUACGAUCACGUGAAGACUGUGCGAAUAAUCAUGGGUCACCUACGAGUCAGAACCACCUAAAGUGGUCUGUACAACAAGACUAUGCACCUAACUUGGAUCCAAGGUGAGCAUAUGGUGCGAAAGGUGAACAUCACGUGAAGGACUGUGCCCUAACCACAAGCGGGAGCACUAACACCAAGGUGCAGGUUUAUGAGCUCUCAACAUAUUUCACAUAAUCAUCAAUUCACAUAAACAAUCUACAACUCACCUGGUACUUACGUGAGCGUCCACAGCGUCAAAUCAUAUUUAUGCAUACAAUACUAAUUCAUAGUCUAAGCAUAAAUCAAUAGGCAUGGCAUUUCAAAACAUCAUUUCAUUUAAACACAUUUUUUGGGAAAAAUACCAAGUAUAUAUAAGUAUAUACUGAAAACCAAAAGCCAACUCACCGAUAUGUGGAAAGGUCGUAGCCCCCGAAUCUCGCUUGAUUACGCUCAUCCUCUGGAUAGGUCUCACCUAUAUGCGAAACAACUAUAUAAACGUUAUUUUAAAGCACAUAACCAAAACUAGGCAAUAACUUCUCAUACAUUGCUCAAUUGGGGUCUUUGAAUAUACCAACGUGAUCUACUCAACCCCACGAACAACCCUAUAUUUUUUUUUAAAAUUCCGAGCACCCAUGCGCCCCCACACGCCAGCCAAGGCAUGGCCAGACGCGCGGCCACGU